rnacentral:misc_RNA from 1 species
AUCCAAAAUGGCUGCGCCCAUGAAAAAAAAAUUGGUUCUUAAAUUUUUAUCUUUUUAUUGCAUUACAAACACAAUGCGUCCCUAACAGAGGACUUAUAUUUUAAGAUUUGAUAGGCUUUAAAUCAUUUAUCGAAACUGAAUAGGAUACGAGACGACAGUAAUGAGAACUGUGUCUUUUGUUGAGAGAUUGGAAUUUGAUUUUCCUGGAAAUCUUUUCAAUCAGGCUUUGGGAGUGGGAGAUGUAGAUAAUGACAAGUGUAAUGAAAUUGUAGCAGGGAACAUGAAUGGAGAACUGAUGGUCUUUAAAGGAAGAGACAGUAAACCUUGGAGGAAAGCAAGUGAUCUUGGAAUGAUCACCUGUAUUGGAGUAGGUGACAUUUGCAAUAAAGGAAAGAACAUGCUGGUUAGCCUGAGUGCAGAGGGAUGGUGCCAUAUAUUUUGUGUGAAGGGUGAUGGUGAGGAAGGCAAUGGAGACAUGGACAGAUGUAUGCAACCAUCCCACAUACAACAUCUGCCAGCCAACAGCAGAGUAAUGAUCAUAGCAGAUGUUGACAAUGACGGGAAGAGUGAGCUUGUGAUUGGUUACUCUGAUCGUGUGGUUCGCUCAUUUCGCUGGUCCACUACAGCCGAUCCUGACAGCUUCCCUCUUGGCAAAUUCAUCCCUGUAGAGAAGUGGCAACUUGCGGCUCAAAUUGGUUCCAUUACAACUAAUACGUUAGCAGAUGGCACUGUUGAUGUGAUGGUGGCGCAACCUGGUGGUACAUUUGUGAGUCUAGUUGGAAGUAAAGAUAUACAUACAGGAGCAGGGCAUAAGGACAAACCACAGUGGGGCCCUAACACAUCAACAGAGGAUCUGGAGGAAGAUAAGAUACAGGGACCUACUCUGGUGUAUCAUCCUCUAGGAGCUGCGAGGGCACGUAACCCAAGUGUUACCACGGAGAUCAUUGGCAACAUAAGCAAGAGUAAGAAGCACGUCAGUGAAGAAGAGAGAGCUUGUUAUUACGCUGUAUGCACACUAGAUGGAACUUUGAGCUUGGUUGAGGAUGACAAGAUUCAGUGGUCUUUUCUUGUUGACCAUCAACUGUUUGGUUUAACAAAGCUUGAUGUAACAGGGGAUGGGACAGAGGAGGUUGUCGUGUGCUCAUGGGAUGGACAAACCUACAUUGUUAAUCAUAGUAAAGAGGUCGCUAGGUUCCAGUUUGAAGAUAACAUAGCAGCUUUCUGUGCAGGUCACUACGCAUUAUCUGAUGAGAAGAAUGUCCCGUGUUUGAUAUAUGUGACAUUUAGUCAACAGAUCCUUGUAUAUUAUAACAUGCAAAUGCCACAUGUAGAAUUGGCGAACCUUAUAGACACCAUGGACCAGAGGGAGGGAAUACCAGAGUUGUUGCAGUGUCUCAGUGUUGACCCAAGCAAUAAGCAACAGUUAAGGCAGCUUUACCACUGGGCACUUUAUGGAGGCGGGCACCAAUCUAAGUCUUGACAUCAAUACAACAACACUUGAAGUAUUGACAUUGUCACAAAUGGAACUGUGUCAAGUUUUGACAUCAUCAAAAGGACAUGACAUUGUGAAUGGAUGACUUUUGAAGUUCCAACAUCAUCAUCAAUGGACACAAAUUGUAAGUCCUGUCAUCGGCAUGGUAUGUGGACUGUUAAUUGGUACUGGUCAUGCCACUAUUCAAACAUAUGAAAUCUUCGCUAAUGGAGCCUAGUGUAGUAUUGACAUCUUGCAGGAAUGUUUGUUAAGUGAUCACGUUCAUAGUGUGGUUAGGACAUGCUGACUGAAUACCAGCAUUAACAUGCAUUGUGACAUCACUGUAGACACCAAAAACUAAGUGAAUGAAUUGAAUUAGUUUGAAUCACUGUUACUUGUUAAAACAAUUGUAUUCCUCUGUACAAACUCCAUCAGGUCAAUGUGACUAAGGGCACGUCCCCCCAGGGCAACUUGUCAAAUAAUUGUGUGAGAAUUUUGUAUGAUGAUAACAUAGCAUUUAACCUACACUCAAAAGCAAUUAUAUCUGUCAUUUUAAUCAUAUUGUAUCUUGGUGAUCCUCUUCAAGUAUGUCAGUGGUAACCCCCUUAUGAAACUGGUGUCAUAUGCAUUUUGAACUAUGAAAGGUACUCACAUAAUAAGUGGUUCAAAGCUUUAAUAAAAAGGAUAUUUAGAGUACCCUACUUUUGAUAUUCAGUUUGUUUUUUGAUGUUUGUAUAUGAGUCUACCCUCGUCAACUUAAGGUACAACAUGAAAGAGAGUUCAAAUGAAACUUUAUAUACAUGUAUGUAUAAUGAUCGGAUGACUCUCAAAUUAAACUUUAUAUGCAUGUAUGUAAAAUGAUCGGAUGAUUCUCAAAUU